GGGCUUGUGGUCUAGUGGUAUGAUUCUUCCUUAGCAUGAAUGAAGCAAAAUGCAUCAUCGUGAUCUGGAAGAGGUCCGGGGUUCAAUUCCCCGCGAGUCCA